rnacentral:lncRNA from 1 species
GACAGUCGGAGACAUGGGGAACCAACAAAUACUUCGGCGGCACUGCUCUUUGCGAAACCAUAUAAUUAUUAAAAAGUCAGACAAAGUCGGACAUUGAAGCCAAACAAAGUCGACCCCUCAAAAAAAACCAGAGGUGCAUGUCUCGCUACAGUAAGUCCACCAAACUACCACCAACCCUAUGUAAAAGACCGAAACAAAUAAAAAAUAUACAACUUCAAGACAAAACCUUCAAGUAGAAAUCGCCGCAGGUGCGUUGAUGAUGACUAAUCAACUGAAAACUGAUUUCGGAAUUUUCAUCCAAAAAACGAAUCAUCACCUUCAACAACAGCACGAGGCAGGCGCACGUCGG